rfam:Sugiyamaella lignohabitans strain CBS 10342 mitochondrion genome.
UAAUAUUUGAGCUUGAUGUUGGCUCAGUGUAACCGCUAGUUAGAUACAUAAUACAUGCGAAUGAAACGAUAUAAUAAUAUUAUUAAAAAUAAUAUAUAUUAUAUUAAUGUCGUGAAAACGUGAGUAAAGAAUGAUAAUAUGAACUAUUGUUUCAGUUAAAUACUGAUAUAAAUUAAAUAAAAUUAAAAAAUAAAGAAUAUAAAUAUAUAUUUGAUAAUAGUCAAGUCAUUAAUAACAUUAGGUAGUUGGUAGUAUAAUAGACUACCAAGCCAAUACUAUGUUUAGCUGACAAUGAAAGUUGGAACAGUCACGUUAACCUUGAAAUAAUGGUUAAUAUCUAUUAGAUACAGCAGUAAGUAACAUUUGUCAAUGGACGAAAGUCUGAACGAGUAAUCUAACAAGAUGAAUAAUAAAUAUUAUUUAAUAAACAAUGAUUAUUAAAUUAUUAAUAAUUAUAAAUAAUAUACCUCAGUAGAGGAAAAUGUUAAAGUAUAAAAUCUUAAUAUAUAAUUGACAUAAUGAGUAAAAUUAUAUAAAUAGUCCUAACUAAUUUAUGUGCCAGCCGUUGCGGUUAGACAUAUAGGACAAGUGGUACACAUUAAUGGUAUAAAGGGUCAGUAGUAUGGAUUAAAAAAAAUCUAGAAUAUUAUUAUUUAAAUUAUAAUGAAGUACAUGAGUAAGGGUUAAAUCUAUAGAUACAUGUAUGACAACCAAUAUAUGAAGGUAUUUAAUUAUAAUAAUAUUGACAUUGAGUGACGAAACCUAUAGUAUCAAAUUGGACUAGUCAACCAAUUAGUUAUAGGUGUAAACAAUGUAUGUUAAUAAAAAUAUAAAUUUAUUUUUAUAAAGUUAAUAUGAGAACAUACCACCUGAGGAGUACUACACAGUGUAGAAACUCAAAACAAUAGACCGUUUAGGUUAUUAACAGUGGAUCAUGUAGUUUAAUGCGAUAAUACACGCUAAUCUUACCAUAAUUUGCAUAUUUAAUUUUAUAUUAUUUACAAGUGCUACAUAACUGUCUCUAGUUCAUGCUGUAAAGUAUUAGGUUAAGUCCGUUAAUGAACGUAAUCUAUCUAAAUUUAAUAAAAAAUUUAGAUUUUUCAUAGAACGAAAAAUAUUAAAUAGAUUAAGACAAGUCUUCAUGGCCUUUAUAUUAUGGGCUACAUACGUGAUACAAUUAAACAUACAAAGUCUAAUAAAAUAAUUAUUAAUUAUUAAAUUAAUUGACUUAAAAUGUUUAAUAUAUUAUAUUAUAAUUAUCUUUUUAAGAUAUGUAUAUUAUAUAUAUAUUAUGUGAAUUAUAUACUGAAAUUUGUAUAUAUUAAAUCGGAAUUGUCAGUAAUGGUGUAUUAGUAUGACACCGUGAAGUUGUUUCCUAAGGGUACUAAUUACUCAUCAUUUGGCUGAAACACAUAGUCAUUCACUUAUUAUUAUUAUUUAUUAUAAUUUAUAAUUAUUUAUAUUAUUAUUUUAUUUUUAUAAUAUGGUAAUAAAUACUAUGAGUGACAGCUGAGAAGUUGAAAUAUAGUUGUGGUAGAUGAAUCUGCUGCGGUUAAUUAUCCUCU